UACCUGCAGCUCGAGUGGUAACCGCUAUUAUUGGGCCUAAAGCGUCCGUAGCCGGUUUGGUAAAUAUCUGGGUAAAUCGUGAGGCUUAACUUCACGAAUUUCGGAUAGACUGCCAGACUUGGGAUCGGGGGAGGUCAGAGGUACUCCAGGGGUAGCGGUGAAAUGUUGUAAUCCUUGGAGGACCACCGGUAGCGAAGGCGUCUGACUAGAACGAGUCCGACGGUGAGGGACGAAGCCCUGGGGCGCAAACCGGAUUAGAUACCCGGGUAGUCCAGGGUGUAAACGAUGUGGGCUUUGUAUUGGAGGUCCCACAUGGGCGUCCAGUGCAGAAGAGAAGUUGUUAAGCCCACCGCCUGGGAAGUACGGUCGCAAGGCUGAAACUUAAAGGAAUUGGCGGGGGAGCACAGCAACGGGAGGAGCGUGCGGUUU
rnacentral:rRNA from 1 species